rnacentral:rRNA from 1 species
AUUGAACGCUGGCGGCAUGCCUUACACAUGCAAGUCGAACGGUAACGCGGGGCAACCUGGCGACGAGUGGCGAACGGGUGAGUAAUGCAUCGGAACGUGCCCAGUAGUGGGGGAUAGCCCGGCGAAAGCCGGAUUAAUACCGCAUACGACCUAAGGGUGAAAGCGGGGGAUCGCAAGACCUCGCGCUAUUGGAGCGGCCGAUGUCAGAUUAGGUUGUUGGUGGGGUAAAAGCCUACCAAGCCGACGAUCUGUAGCUGGUCCGAGAGGACGACCAGCCACACUGGGACUGAGACACGGCCCAGACUCCUACGGGAGGCAGCAGUGGGGAAUUCUGGACAAUGGGGGCAACCCUGAUCCAGCCAUGCCGCGUGCGGGAAGAAGGCCUUCGGGUUGUAAACCGCUUUUGUCAGGGAAGAAACGCUCUGGGCUAAUACCCCGGGGUAAUGACGGUACCUGAAGAAUAAGCACCGGCUAACUACGUGCCAGCCGCCGCCGUAACAC